GCUCCGGUAGCUCAGUGGCUAGAGCACACGGCUGUUAACCGUGGGGUCGUAGGUUCGAAUCCUAUCCGGAGCG
rnacentral:tRNA from 1 species